CCGUGCACUCAAUGGCUCCACAAAGCUGAUUACAAGCCCCAGCGAAUUCCUGAAGAGACCGGGCAGCCACGCAGGUGGGGGAGGAAGCUAUUGUUUUCGAACAUCCUGGUCCUGCUCCUCAUUUAUUAAUCACUAAUUCCAACUUGGCAGAAAGUAUAGACCAAAGUAAGUCUUUCUUUUUUAUUCCCAUAUCUUGUAUCACUUUGAAGGGGUUUAUUUUGCAGUAUGAACUGCACAUUAUCCAGUGUAUGAUGUGGCUGUUCACCAAAUAAAUAUAUAAAAUAUUGAUUUGACUUGAAACUACUUCUCUCCGCUUAGAAAAAAAAAUCCAUUACAACAUACAAAACAAUUAGCAUAGCAACAAGGCAAACAGUGCAACAAUAUUACAAUAAGAUUAACACUGAAGUCCUCUGAAGUCAUUUUUACUAUAUAAUCGAUAACUGAGAUGCAAGAUGGCACCAGUUCUGGUUGUGAAACGAGAGUGUGAGUACGUGAGACAUGAAAGUAGUGCCUGAUAAACAGUGUUAUCAUAGGCGAUGGUGAAUAUUAAUCAAUGUUUGAUUGCUGGAUAGUGCAAUUGAACUAUGAGAAUCAAGUAUUCCAGUAAGCCGUGUAAUAUUAUUUAUCAGAGUGCUUGCUACUAAUUGCGCUGUGACACUCACGCACUUAUUUUUCACAUAAAAGUUCUGCCUGUGCAACCCGAUCUCAUGCCAAUUCAUACAUAUUUUACGAGGGAUUUGUACCACCUCACUCAUAUGAAUUUGUAAAAUUUUUGCUAAAUUGUAUGUACAAUAGUCAACAUUUGAAGUGGAUCAAAGCCUUUCAUCAAAGUUGUUCUAAAACCUAAAAUCAAAAUGCGUUCCCCAGUUCGUAUUAAUUUUUAUUAUUUCACGAGUUCCCCAAUUUGUAUGAAUUCGUACAAAUGACCU
rnacentral:lncRNA from 12 species